rnacentral:lncRNA from 1 species
CGGAGCUGUUAGGAAGACGAAACAAAAACCACAAGGGUACUUCUCCUUCUGCUCCUUUCCCAGUGAAACUACGCUUUGCGGCAUUUGUUCAGGAUCCCCUAACGAUCUUAGACAACACGCCUCGAACCCAGUCAGACUCCUGCUUCAAGGGACUCAGAUUGCAUUUUAAAUCAAAAUGCUCUCCAUGACUGACUGCUUUGCAGCGUUAGGGUUGUUGCCACUUUUGCUGCUUUAACGUCAGAGAAGCCAAGUAAUUCUCAGGUCUCUGUGAAAUAUGCCCCAUCUGAGCUGAAUUUCUGCCUACAGACCAACCGAUAGAGACAAACGUAAGAAAUAUUUGUUAUCGUCAAGUAAGGUUUUCUUUUUACUUAAUCUGAGGCAAUUAGUACCUGAAUAAACACAGACUAAGUAAUCUGCCUCCUCA